UUUAAGAAUUUUAUUAUUAGGUUUUAUUAUUGAAAUUAGUCUUAAUUUUAUUAGUUUUUUUGAACAAAGAGAUUUUAUUAUAGUUAAUUAGUAAAGUGGUUGAAAUUUUGAAUUAAUUUUUAUUUAAUUAAAAGAAGAAUUUGGUUUUUGUACCUUGUGUAUCAGGGUUGAUAUAUUAUAAUUUAUAUAUAUAAAUUUCCCGAAUUAAGAAGAUCUAUUUAAAUAUUUAUUUAAUUGUUUCAUAAAUUUUUAAAAUAUUUUUAUAGUAAUGAAACGUUAUUCGUUUCUUAAUAUAUCUGGUUUUUUAAGAAAAGAAUUUAAUUCUAUUAUUUUUUAUUAAAAAUUAAUUUUUUAAUUUUUAUAUUUGAAUAUUAAAUAUUUUUGGGGAUGAGCUUAAAAAUAUAAUACUAAAAAUUGUUAUAGGUUGCUUGAUUAGUAUAAUUAGAAUUGUUAAACUUUAGAAUAAUUUUAUAGUUAUUUUAGCUUAAAUUUUAUUUAUAUUUGUUUUAGUUUUUAUAUUAAAAUUUUUUUGUAAAUUAUUUUUGAUUAGUAAUACUUAUUAAAUUAGUAAAUUUAUAUUGUAUUUUUAAUUAUAGUUGGUAGGUUGAAAAAAGGAAUUCGGCAAAAUUGUUUUUCGCCUGUUUAAUAAAAACAUGGCCUUUUGAUUAUAAUUUAAGGUUUGACCUGCUCAAUGAGUAGUUAAAUUGCCGCGGUAUUUUGACCGUGCAAAGGUAGCAUAAUAAUUAGUUUUUUUAUUGGAAGCUGGAAUGAAUGGUUGGACGAGAGAACUACUGUCUCUUUUUAAUUUUAUUUUUAAUUUAACUUUUAAGUUAAAAGGCUUAAAUUUUUAUUAAAGACGAGAAGACCCUAUAGAGUUUAACAUUUCUUUAUUUAUUUUCUUUUUAGAAUUUUAAUGGAUUUAAUUUUAGAAUUGUUUGGUUGGGGUGACCAGAAGAUUAAAAAAACUCUUCUAUUUGAAUCAUAGAUUUUUGAAUGGAUAAUCUAGUUUUUCUAAAUUUAAUAUAAAUUACCUUAGGGAUAACAGCGUAAUUUCUUUUUAGAGUUCUUAUUGAAAGAGAAGUUUGCGACCUCGAUGUUGGAUUAAAAUUUAUUUUUGGUGCAAAAGCUAAACAAUUAAGUCUGUUCGACUUUUAAAAUUUUACAUGAUCUGAGUUUAAACCGGUGUGAGCCAGGUUGGUUUCUAUCUUAAUUAUUUUUUUAUAUUUUAGUACGAAAGGACCAAAUAUAAGAUAUAUGGUAUUUUAUUUUUGAAUAUUAUU
rnacentral:rRNA from 1 species